UACGGAGGGUGCGAGCGUUGCUCGGAAUCACUGGGCGUAAAGCGUACGCAGGCGGUCCAACAAGUCGGGUGUGAAAUCCCGGGGCUCAACCCCGGAACUGCGCCCGAGACUGCUGGACUUGAGUGCGGGAGAGGAAAGCGGAAUUCCUGGUGUAGAGGUGAAAUUCGUAGAUAUCAGGAGGAACACCUGUGGCGAAAGCGGCUUUCUGGCCCGACACUGACGCUCAUGUACGAAAGCGCGGGGAGCAAACAGG
rnacentral:rRNA from 1 species